AUUGAACGCUGGCGGCAUGCCUUACACAUGCAAGUCGAACGGCAGCACGGGAGCAAUCCUGGUGGCGAGUGGCGAACGGGUGAGUAAAGUAUCGGAACGUGCCCAGUCGUGGGGGAUAACGUAGCGAAAGUUACGCUAAUACCGCAUACGAUCUAUGGAUGAAAGCGGGGGAUCGCAAGACCUCGCGCGAUUGGAGCGGCCGAUAUCAGAUUAGGUAGUUGGUGGGGUAAAGGCUCACCAAGCCGACGAUCUGUAGCUGGUCUGAGAGGACGACCAGCCACACUGGAACGGAGACACGGUCCAGACUCCUACGGGAGGCAGCAGUGGGGAAUUUUGGACAAUGGGCGAAAGCCUGAUCCAGCCAUUCCGCGUGCAGGAUGAAGGCCCUCGGGUUGUAAACUGCUUUUGUACGGAACGAAAAGGUCUCUCUUAAUACGGGGGGCUCAUGACGGUACCGUAAGAAUAAGCACCGGCUAACUACGUGCCAGCCGCCGCUGUAA
rnacentral:rRNA from 1 species